UGGGGGAUAUUGGACAAUGGGGGCAACCCUGAUCCAGCGAUGCCGCGUGUGUGAAGAAGGCCUGCGGGUUGUAAAGCACUUUUGGUUAUGAGGAGAAGCGUCCAAUGAAUAGUUGGAUGUAGAGACGUUAGUAACAGAAUAAGCACCGGCUAACUCUGUGCCAGCAGCCGCGGUAAUACAGAGGGUGCGAGCGUUAAUCGGAAUUACUGGGCGUAAAGGGCGCGUAGGCGGCGCGAUAAGUGAGCUGUGAAAAUCAUGGGCUUAACCUGUGAAAGAAAGCUCAUACUGUCGAGCUAGAGUACAGGAGAGGGAAGUGGAAUUUCCGGUGUAGCGGUGAAAUGCGUAGAUAUCGGAAGGAACACUCGAGGCGAAGGCGACUUUCUGGCCUGGAACUGACGCU
rnacentral:rRNA from 1 species